rnacentral:lncRNA from 1 species
UUCUAUUAGUGGAAUUUUUUUUAAAACCUCUUUUUCUUGUCUAGUGUCUAUUUUGUUGGCACACUACUUUCAUUUUUGAAAGCAUAAGUCUUCUAUAUAAAGAGACGGUACUGCAUGGAAAAAUGAGAAGAAAAUUUUAAGUUCACAAAUUUUAGUUAUUAAAGAGAGUUUAUUACUUGAAGUGUGAAGCUUUGAACUCAACUCUUGUCCAGAGUUGUUGAGUUACUGUAGAAGGCUGUUGUAUCCUGGAGAGGACAAGCCAAGAAGAUUACUAUUGUACUGGUGAAACACUUGUUGCAGUGGGCUUGAAUCUCCUUAAAGAGAGCGAGAUAUCCGUGCCUCAGCCGUAGAAGAAGAAAAUAAUAUUUUUCUUUAUUCAUUUGUAAUUUUCAGUUGUAAUAGUUAUUGUAAUUUCAUCAACAAUUUUAAGGAGAUUCAAUAUGGCAACAACUGAAAAUUUCGCAGAUGUCAAGAUAGGAGAUCUUAACAAGCCAUUCCGGUUCAACGGGACUAACUUCAAGAGGUGAAAGGGUAAAGUAUUUUUUUACUUGAGUCUUCUCUAUGUAUCUUAUAUAUUGACUGCGAAGAAUCCAAACAAAGUAGAUAACUCUUCCAUGAGUGAUGAAGAACUCAUUUCUCUUGAAUAGAAAGUGGAAAAAUACAAUAAUGACUCCUAUAAGUGUCGAUAUUUUUUACUUAAUAGUCUAUCUGAUAAUUUUUAUGAUUAUUAUGAUAGAACUUACUCUAGUGCAAAGAAAAUUUGGAAAGCAUUGCAGAGUAAGUAUGACACUGAGGAGGAGGGAGCAAAAAGAUAUGCG